rnacentral:piRNA from 1 species
AACAGUGACUAGAAAGUUCUUCAGAUUUCUCA